AGAUGCAUUACUGGGCAAUUCCUUCUUUGGCAGAAGUUGCCAUGCAUUAUAUGGCUUCUCAAUCUCAAUGGAUCAAUAUUUGAUGUUCCAAAUGGUCAAAAAUUGUAUUACUUCUGCUGCCAAAGGAGAUUUGUCCGGCAAUUCAUCA
rnacentral:pre_miRNA from 1 species